rnacentral:snRNA from 1 species
GCUCAGUUCAGGUCUCCAU